GAUAAACGCUGGCGGCGCACAUAAGACAUGCAAGUCGAACGGACUUAACCAUUAGUUUACUAUUGGAGCGGUUAGUGGCGGACUGGUGAGUAACGCGUAAGCAAUCUGCCUAUCAGAGGGGAAUAACAGGUGAGAAAUCACUGCUAAUACCGCAUAAGCUGUGAGUAUCACAUGAUUACAAAUAGAAAAGGAGCAAUUCCGCUGAUAGAUGAGCUCGCGUCUGAUUAGCUAGUUGGCGGGGUAACGGCCCACCAAGGCGACGAUCAGUAGCCGGACUGAGAGGUUGAACGGCCACAUUGGGACUGAGACACGGCCCAG
rnacentral:rRNA from 1 species